rnacentral:rRNA from 1 species
CGUAGGUGGCGAGCGUUGUCCGGAAUUACUGGGUGUAAAGGGCGUGUAGGCGGGAAGACAAGUCAGAUGUGAAAUACCGUGGCUUAACCACGGGGCUGCAUCUGAAACUGUUUUCUGAGUGUCGGAGAGGAAAGUGGAAUUCCCAGUGUAGCGGUGAAAUGCGUAGAUAUUGGGAGGAACACCAGUGGCGGAGGCGACUUUCUGGACGAUAACUGACGCUGAGGCGCGAAAGCGUGGGGAGCAAACAGGAUUAGAUACCCUGGUAGUCCACGCUGUAAACGAUGGAUACUAGGUGUGGGAGGUAUCGACCCCUUCCGUGCCGCAGUUAACACAAUAAGUAUCCCACCUGGGGAGUACGGCCGCAAGGUUG